UAAUAAUAAAAUAUAAAGUGUUUUCUUUUAAUUAAAACGUUAAUUAAAAGACGAAAAUUUAUUAUCAACAUUUAAAUUUUUCCCGCGUUGCAUUCAUCAGCGCUCUUUUUAGUUACCUCGACGUCCACCAGAGUGUGUUCCUUUUCAGAAGGAAAAGAAAAAAAAAAAAAAGAAAAAGAAAAUGCAUCUCGUACAUUGAAAGUGUUUAUGGGUCGCGUCGUUUAUAGGUCUAUUGUUUUGAUUUUUAUAAGAUAAUGUAAGUUAUAUAGAUUGAUUGAGUCAAUUAAAUAAUUGAUAAUUUCACUCGAUACAAAGGAACAUAUUAAUAGAACAAAUAUGUUAGAAUUAGAAGGGCUUCUAAUAUUAGAAGCUUUACGUUAAAAUCGUGUAUACUAUUUUAACCUGACAAUGUACAACGCAUUUAAAUUGCUCACAAUUAUAUUGUAUUAUUCGACACAAUAUGUGAACGCCCAAUACUGUUAUCCAAAUUAUUGUCAAAAUGUUUCAACUAAGGUGUCAUUGCCUGGUCUUCAAUGUAGAAUAAAACCAAUCGAAGAUGAUGAUUGUAUUAAACUUAGAUUCGAUGGAUGGAAUCAUAUAUCUUUCCAGGAGAGUACGACUCAAUUUCAAUUGUCUGCUUAUGUUAUUAGUACAGGAACAUUUAAAGGAAAAUUGACUGCAUUUAAUUUAUCAAUUACCGAUAUUAAUUUUCUUAGGUUAACCACACGUUAUCAAAGUCUAAUGGAUGAAAAUAUAUCCGUGUGUACACAUAUUGCUUUACAUGGAAACACGACUGACUCAGUACCUAAUAGAUUCAUUUUAUCUUGUCCUUUUACAAAUCAAUCAUUUGAAGGUAGUCCUUAUCGUUUAGAAUAUUCUGUAAGUGGAAAAAGAUUUGAGUAUAGUAAAAAGCUUGUUUUCAUAAUACCUCAUCAUGAGUCUAUUGAUGAAAAUAAUGACAUUAAUGGAUACUUACCAUUCAUUUAUAUAGACGUUUCUGAUGCAUUGCUCUUCACGUUAUAUAUACAGCCAGUUCCUAAAAAAUUUAACGUAACUACGUAUAGAAUUUGGUUAACAAAUAAUAGCACGGGUAUAACGACCGACAUAAAAGUUUCUCAACCGAUAAAUGAAGAGCAUAUACAAUAUAAUUUUUCCAUAUUAGAUGGAAUCUAUUAUUUACAAGUAGCAGCUAUCCAUCCCAAUUGUAGCAUAUACGGAUGUAUUAAUGCCACUUCACCUUUCAUAAGUAUAAGAGAAGCAUCGCAUCGUUUACUCAUUAUGAUAAUUAGCAUUAUAUGGAUACCACCUGUGAUAUUAUAUGCGCUUUACCACAUAUAUAAGUUAUGUACAAAAAAUGCAAAGAAAGACAGAAAGAAACCAAAUUGUUUAAUAGUAUACUCGCCAACGCGCGAAUCACAUAUCACGGUUAUGGCAGAAUUAACAAAAUAUUUAAGAUGCUGUAAUAUUAAUGCCAUGAUAGAUAUGUUCGAUAUCUCGGAGACUGUAUCAAAGGACGUAGAACUUUGGUGUAGAAAUGCGUUUAAUUCUGCUGACAUUAUUCUCAUUGUGACUUCACCACCGUCUAACAAACUUGUACCGACAAUAUACGAGAACAUAGACACAUAUAUAUUGCAAUUGAUUAGAGAAAAUUAUGGGCAAAGAAAUAAAAGGUAUUAUAUUCUACAAUUGCCAUAUUGCAAAUCAACUGAUUUGCCGGACGAGGCAAAACGUUUUCAACGUUUUCGUAUGCCCGAAGAAUUAGCUAAAUUAGUCAGGACAGUUCACAAUAUUGAUUACAUUAGAUUCUUUGGUUUAUCAAAUAAGGAGGUACUAUUGGAAAGUAUAAAAUUAGCUCAAGUAGAGAUGUUAGACGAUGGCAGUGGUAGUGAUCACAAGAGUGCUGAUGAAACUGACGAUCUUUUACCAUCCGUAGUACCAAUAAAUAAUAUUAAAAACGAAGAUCUGAAUCACGAGGACGAUAACAAUUCAAUGUCUUCGAAUGUUGUUAAGGAUGAAUUUAAUAAUUCAUUGAAAAGAAAAUAUUGUGAACUUCAAGGUGAAAAAGCUAGGUGGACGAUCAUUGACAUAAGGUGAUUUUACUGUUUCGAUUGGAAAUGAAGCUAUUGGUUCCUGCCAAAAUGCAUGAAGUUUGUCUACUUUAUCGCACUUUGUCACAGGUUCCGACGAUGGUUUACUCAGCAUGAAGAGAAGCAAAGUAUGCCUGAUUAUGGACGGUUCUUGGAUUCAGAUCUAAAUAUUCUACUCCAUCCUCUAACAUGCGUUCCCAAUGACAGAUGAACGAUACUAUACUAUUAUUAUAAUUUUUGAUCUAUUAUAUAGAUGAUAACAUUAAAACAAAGAGAUAUUUAUCAAACAUUGAAACGAUAAAGUUUUAUAAUUGACCUUUUAUAAUUGAACAUGUAAUUAUAAUUUUAUAAUUGACUUUUGUAAUAUCGAUUAAUUUAUUACGA